GGCCAUACAGCUACACUAUAUAAUGUAAUAUAAAAUAAGGUCAUACUGUUACAGUAUAUAAUAUGUGUAACGGAGCUCCCUGUACCCCUGGCUGGGUACCUCCGCCAAGGACCGCUUCCUAGCUGGAACAGUGGACAAACCGCAGCACUUCUGCCCACAGUUGCCGUGGCUUGACUGAGGUCCUGGAACCGCUCCUUCCUGGAGCCGAAUACUGGCCUUACAGUAUAUCAUAUAAGGCCAUACAGUUACAGUAUAUCAUAAGGUCAUACAGUUGCAGUAUAUAAUAUAAGGUCAUACAGUUGCAGGAUAUAAUAUAAGGUCAUACAGUUGCAGGAUAUGAGGUCAUACAGUUACAGUAUAUCAUGUAAUAUAAGGUCAUAAAG